UACGUAGGGUGCGAGCGUUGUCCGGAAUUAUUGGGCGUAAAGAGCUUGUAGGCGGUUUGUCGCGUCUGCUGUGAAAAUCCGGGGCUCAACCCCGGACUUGCAGUGGGUACGGGCAGACUAGAGUGUGGUAGGGGAGACUGGAAUUCCUGGUGUAGCGGUGGAAUGCGCAGAUAUCAGGAGGAACACCGAUGGCGAAGGCAGGUCUCUGGGCCACUACUGACGCUGAGAAGCGAAAGCAUGGGGAGCGAAACAGG
rnacentral:rRNA from 1 species